rnacentral:rRNA from 1 species
AGCAUAUCAAUAAGCGGAGGAAAAGAAACUAACAAGGAUUCCCCUAGUAACUGCGAGUGAAGCGGGAAAAGCUCAAAUUUAAAAUCUGGCGGUCUUUGGCCGUCCGAGUUGUAGUCUGGAGAAGUGCUUUCCGCGCUGGACCGUGUACAAGUCUCCUGGAAUGGAGCGUCAUAGAGGGUGAGAAUCCCGUCUUUGACACGGACUACCAGUGCUCUGUGAUGCGCUCUCAAAGAGUCGAGUUGUUUGGGAAUGCAGCUCAAAAUGGGUGGUGAAUUCCAUCUAAAGCUAAAUAUUGGCGAGAGACCGAUAGCGAACAAGUACCGUGAGGGAAAGAUGAAAAGCACUUUGGAAAGAGAGUUAAACAGUACGUGAAAUUGUUGAAAGGGAAACGCUUGAAGUCAGUCGCGUCCGCCAGAACUCAGCCUUGCCAUCUGGCCUGGUGUACUUUCUGGUGGACGGGCCAGCAUCAAUUUCGACUGCCGGACAAGGGCUGGGGGAAUGUGGCACCUUCGGGUGUGUUAUAGCCCUCAGUCGUAUACGGUGGUUGGGAUUGAGGAAUUCAGCAUGCCUUUAUGGUCGGGGUUCGCCCACGUUCAUGCUUAGGAUGCUGGCGUAAUGGCUUUAAACGACCCGUCUUGAAACACGGACCAAGGAGUCUAACAUGCCCGCGAGUGUUCGGGUGGAAAACCCGUGCGCGUAAUGAAAGUGAAAGUUGGGACCUCUGUUAUGGAGGGCACCGACGCCCGGACCAGACCUUCUGUGACGGAUCUGCGGUAGAGCGUGUAUGUUGGGACCCGAAAGAUGGUGAACUAUGCCUGAAUAGGGUGAAGCCAGAGGAAACUCUGGUGGAGGCUCGUAGCGAUUCUGACGUGCAAAUCGAUCGUCAAAUUUGGGUAUAGGGGCGAAAGACUAAUCGAACCAUCUAGUAGCUGGUUCCUGCGA